rnacentral:rRNA from 1 species
AGGACAAACGCUGGCGGCGUACCUAAGACAUGCAAGUCGAACGGAUCAUAUGGUUUCGGCCGUAUGGUGAGUGGCGGACGGGUGAGUAACGCGUAGGAACCUGUCAUCAAGUGGGGGGAUAACGCUGGGAAACCGGCGCUAAUACCGCAUGAGGUCGCAGCAAUGCGAAGAAAGCUUUUCGCGCAAGUGGAAGGCGCUCGAUGAGGGGCCUGCGUCCGAUUAGCUUGUUGGUGGGGUAAAGGCCUACCAAGGCAUCGAUCGGUAGCUGGU